UACAGAGGUCUCAAGCGUUGUUCGGAUUCAUUGGGCGUAAAGGGUGCGCAGGCGGCUAUGUGUGUGAGGCGUGAAAGCCCGGGGCUUAACCCCGGAAUUGCACCUCAAACUACAUGGCUAGAGCAUUGGAGAGGGUAGCGGAAUUCACGGUGUAGCAGUGAAAUGCGUAGAUAUCGUGAGGAACACCAGAGGCGAAGGCGGCUACCUGGACAAUUGCUGACGCUCAGGCACGAAAGCGUGGGGAGCGAACAGG
rnacentral:rRNA from 1 species